rnacentral:rRNA from 1 species
GACGAACGCUGGCGGCGUGCCUAACACAUGCAAGUCGAGCGGAGGCGGAGGAGAGCCCAGCGAUGGGAAGGAGACUGCUUUAGCGGCGAACGGGUGAGUAACACGUGGGCAAUCUGCCCUCUGGAGCGGGAUAACAGACCGAAAGGCCUGCUAAUACCGCAUGAGGCCGUACUCCCGCAUGGGAGAACGGUCAAAGGGGAAACCCGCCGGAGGAGGAGCCGGCGUCCCAUUGGCAAGUUGGCGGUGGAACGGACAACCAAGGCGAUGAUGGGAAGCCGGCCUGAGAGGGUGAACGGCCACAUUGGGACUGAGACACGGCCCAGACUCCUACGGGGGGCAGCAGUGAGGGAUUUUCGGCAAUGGGCGAAAGCCUGACCGAGCGACGCCGCGUGAGCGAAGAAGGCCUUCGGGUCGUAAAACUCUGUCCUAUGGGAAGAAACAAAUGACGGUACCAUGGGAGGAAGCCCCGGCUAACUUCGUGCCAGCAGCCGCCGUAAAAC